UAACCCAAAGUUGUGGUUCCUGCGUCCAGCCUGGGUUGGUUGGUGUCAGCAGAAUGGAGGCUGAAGAAUCUCAGUGACUGACAUUGUGGAACCUCCCAAGAGCGCCUCACUGGAGUGGGCAGGAAGGGGUGCUGGCCAGGCACACUAAGAGGUCUCACAGGGCUUCGAUUGAGGCAGUGCCAACGGACAGGACAAACCCUGUUGACUCCAGGGUCUAUGGCUGUAGCAUUAGAUUUCACCGGUGUGGUGAUGAUGGGAACAGCCGUGGCAAGAAGGACAGACAGCCUCAGUGAGGAGGGGCCUCUCAUCCACACUCCCUCCAAUCUUCACCUCCUAUAAUGUGAUCAUACAUUCCAGCAGUUGUGAACACAAGUCUCUUCCAACAUUCGGAUUUCUCUCAGAAUUCUUGCCUUAUCUGAAAAGCAACCUCAUUUGUGUUUAUUGACUGCCUGAUAUGUUCAAGGCCUGCACAGAGGACCUCAGAUACAACCAAGAGGAAAAGGAGCUUUGGCUUUGGGAAAACAACAAGACUCCAACUCAUGCAGGAUUUCCAAGGUCCAGUGACCUGUCUUCUACCUUACGUGUCCAUAGGUAGCUCCAUGUUCAGCAGCUCUGGGAAGUUUUGUUCUCUGAGGAGCACAAGAGCCAGCAGAUUUCCCUCCUGAUUGCAAUGUGCAGAUCUGUCCACUAGGACCGGCUUCAGGCUUUCCUGUAUAGGACUCAAACAACUCAGGAAACAAAAGUGAGAACUGACAAACUGAAAAUUUGAAACUUAAAUCAAACAACUGCUGUACAGCAAAGGAACAGUCAAGAGAGUGGAGAGAUAACCUACGGAAGGGGACAAAGUAUUUGUCAGCUUUUUGCCUGAUGGAGGAUUAACAUCUAGAACAUAUCAAGAAUUUGAGGGCUGGGGAUGUGGCUCAAGUGGUAGUGCGCUC